GUUAAGAUGGCAGAGUCCGGUAAUUGCAAAAGACCUAAGCCCUUUCCAAUCAGAGGUUCAACUCCUCUUCUUAAC
rnacentral:tRNA from 1 species